GGGGAAUAUUGCACAAUGGGCGCAAGCCUGAUGCAGCGACGCCGCGUGGGGGAUGAAGGCCUUCGGGUUGUAAACUCCCUUCGCUAGGGACGAAGCUUUUUGGUGACGGUACCUAGAUAAGAAGCACCGGCUAACUACGUGCCAGCAGCCGCGGUAAUACGUAGGGUGCGAGCGUUGUCCGGAAUUACUGGGCGUAAAGGGCUCGUAGGUGGUUUGUCGCGUCGUCUGUGAAAUUCUGGGGCUUAACUCCGGGCGUGCAGGCGAUACGGGCAUAACUUGAGUGCUGUAGGGGUAACUGGAAUUCCUGGUGUAGCGGUGAAAUGCGCAGAUAUCAGGAGGAACACCGAUGGCGAAGGCAGGUUACUGGGCAGUUACUGACGCUGAGGAGCGAAAGCAUGGGUAGCGAACAGGAUUAGAUACCCUGGUAGUCCAUGCCGUAAACGGUGGGCGCUAGGUGUGAGGGUCUUUCUACGACUUUCGUGCCGUAGCUAACGCAUUAAGCGCCCCGCCUGGGGAGUACGGCCGCAAGGCUA
rnacentral:rRNA from 1 species